CUUGAAGAAAAACUGUGGUUCACAUAGAAAUCAUAUAGAAAAUUAAGAGACAAAGAAUCCACAGUUCUUUUGCUUUUAUUAUAGGCAUUACAUAAGACAGUUAAUUCCUGUGAAGGGUGCCUCAUGAUGAUUUUACAGUUGCUAACAUACAAUAUCCAUGAGGUCAGUUAUCACUAGAAUGGGAUUGUUAAUAGCAACGCUUAGCAGCUGAACAUAAUGAGAGAUACCGCAGCUUUAUUAACAGCUGUCAGCUUGGAUGUAAUGACUUAUAGCAUAGCAGCACCAUGGUUACAGAAAAAAACAAAACUGUUAAUCUUCCAAAAAUA